GGAGAAUUGAAAGUGAAGAGUUAAUUUCAGCCUGGGGAAACUCUGGUUGCUUUUGUUUGAAUAAAGCUUUUAGAAAGAUCAGAGUGAAAGUGGAGUUUUCUUUUUCACUUCUUUCCACAAUAUAGUGAAGAGAGAGGUAGGAUUAGAGUAAGGGAUCCCUAUGUUCUAUUUCCACCUGUGACAUAUUGGUGAUGUUGGGCUAGUCACCAUUUCCAUGUUUUAGACAAAUCAGUCAGACUAAGUUUCAGAGAAAGUGAUGACCUAUGUUAAUAGAGGGAUUCUUUUUUCCUCACCCAGAAGUUAUCUAUAGCAAUGGUACAAUUUCUACCCUCAAUUUUGGCUCUGUCUCUCCCACAGGAUUGAUUAGUCAUCCAAGCCUAUUGGUAAGACAAAAGUCAAGACAAGUGAUGAUGGCCUGGGAUUCAAUGCAUGACCAUGGUGUCUUCUAUGUUGGACCAACCACUAAGUACUCCACAGAGCCUGCUUCAGCUGUGUCCAUGACCUUUAGAACAAAUUGUUCUUAUCCAUCCAUUUCAGCAAGAGAAGUUAUCACAAGCUUGGAGUAA
rnacentral:lncRNA from 1 species